AGUGAACGCUGGCGGUAGGCCUAACACAUGCAAGUCGAACGGCAGCACAGGAGAGCUUGCUCUCUGGGUGGCGAGUGGCGGACGGGUGAGGAAUACAUCGGAAUCUACUCUGUCGUGGGGGAUAACGUAGGGAAACUUACGCUAAUACCGCAUACGACCUACGGGUGAAAGCAGGGGACCUUCGGGCCUUGCGCGAUUGAAUGAGCCGAUGUCGGAUAGCUAGUUGGCGGGGUAAAGGCCCACCAAGGCGACGGUCCGUAGCUGGUCUGAGAGGAUGAUCAGCCACCCUGGAACUGAGACACGGUCCAGACUCCUACGGGAGGCAGCAGUGUGGAAUAUUGGACAAUGGGCGCAAGCCUGAUCCAGCCAUACCGCGUGGGUGAAGAAGGCCUUCGGGUUGUGAAGCCCUUUUGUUGGGAAAGAAAUCCAGCUGGCUAAUACCCGGUUGGGAUGACGGUACCCAAAGAAUAAGCACCGGCUAACUUCGUGCCAGCCGCCGCCGUAA
rnacentral:rRNA from 1 species